ACUAAGCGUACACGGUGGAUGCCCUGGCAGUCAGAGGCGAUGAAGGACGUGCUAAUCUGCGAUAAGCGUCGGUAAGGUGAUAUGAACCGUUAUAACCGGCGAUUUCCGAAUGGGGAAACCCAGUGUGAUUCGUCACACUAUCAUUAACUGAAUCCAUAGGUUAAUGAGGCGAACCGGGGGAACUGAAACAUCUAAGUACCCCGAGGAAAAGAAAUCAACCGAGAUUCCCCCAGUAGCGGCGAGCGAACGGG
rnacentral:rRNA from 1 species